AGCAACGCCGCGUGCGGGAUGAAGGCCUUCGGGUUGUAAACCGCUUUCAGCAGGGAUGAAACUGACAGUACCUGCAGAAGAAGCCCCGGCUAACUACGUGCCAGCAGCCGCGGUAAUACGUAGGGGGCGAGCGUUAUCCGGAUUCAUUGGGCGUAAAGAGCGCGUAGGCGGCUUGUUAAGCGAGAUGUGAAAACCGGGGGCUUAACCCGCGGCCUGCAUCUCGAACUGGCAGGCUUGAGUCUGGUAGAGGAGUGUGGAAUCCCCAGUGUAGCGGUGAAAUGCGCAGAUAUUGGGAGGAACACCAGUGGCGAAGGCGGCACUCUGGGCCACGACUGACGCUGAGGCGCGAAAGCUAGGGGAGCGAACAGGAUUAGAUACCCUGGUAGUCCUAGCCGUAAACGAUGGGCACUAGGUGUGGGGGGUAUAACUCCCUCCGUGCCGCAGCUAACGCAUUAAGUGCCCCGCCUGGGGAGUACGGCCGCAAGGCUA
rnacentral:rRNA from 1 species